AGAGUUUGAUCCUGGCUCAGGAUGAACGCUAGCGGCAGGCUUAAUACAUGCAAGUCGUGGGGCAGCAUGGUGUAGCAAUACACUGAUGGCGACCGGCAAACGGGUGCGGAACACGUACGCAACCUUCCUUUAACUGGAGAAUAGCCCGGGGAAACCCGGAUUAAUACUCCGUAACAUUAUGAGGUGGCAUCACUUUAUAAUUAUAGCUCCGGCGGUUGAAGAUGGGCGUGCGCCUGAUUAGGUAGUUGGCGGGGUAACGGCCCACCAAGCCUACGAUCAGUAACUGGUGUGAGAGCACGACCAGUCACACGGGCACUGAGACACGGGCCCGACUCCUACGGGAGGCAGCAGUAAGGAAUAUUGGUCAAUGGACGCAAGUCUGAACCAGCCAUGCCGCGUGGAGGAUGAAGGUCCUCUGGAUUGUAAA
rnacentral:rRNA from 1 species